AUACGGAGGAUCCAAGCGUUAUCCGGAAUCAUUGGGUUUAAAGGGUCCGUAGGUGGACAGGUAAGUCAGAGGUGAAAUCCUGCAGCUCAACUGUAGAAUUGCCUUUGAAACUGUUUGUCUUGAGUCAUUAUGAAGUGGUUAGAAUGUGUAGUGUAGCGGUGAAAUGCAUAGAUAUUACACAGAAUACCGAUUGCGAAGGCAGAUCACUAAUAAUGUACUGACACUGAUGGACGAAAGCGUGGGUAGCGAACAGGAUUAGAAACCCUAGUAGUCC
rnacentral:rRNA from 1 species